rnacentral:rRNA from 1 species
AUCGAGUUUGAUCCUGGCUCAGAUUGAACGCUAGCGGGAUGCUUUACACAUGCAAGUCGAACGGCAGCGCGAGAGAGCUUGCUCUCUUGGCGGCGAGUGGCGGACGGGUGAGUAAUAUAUCGGAACGUGCCCAGUAGCGGGGGAUAACUACUCGAAAGAGUGGCUAAUACCGCAUACGCCCUACGGGGGAAAGGGGGGGAUCGCAAGACCUCUCACUAUUGGAGCGGCCGAUAUCGGAUUAGCUAGUUGGUGGGGUAAAGGCUCACCAAGGCAACGAUCCGUAGCUGGUUUGAGAGGACGACCAGCCACACUGGGACUGAGACACGGCCCAGACUCCUACGGGAGGCAGCAGUGGGGAAUUUUGGACAAUGGGGGAAACCCUGAUCCAGCCAUCCCGCGUGUAUGAUGAAGGCCUUCGGGUUGUAAAGUACUUUUGGCAGAGAAGAAAAGGUAUCCCCUAAUACGGGAUACUGCUGACGGUAUCUGCAGAAUAAGCACCGGCUAACUACGUGCCAGCAGCCGCGGUUAUACGUAGGGUGCAAGCGUUGAUCAGGGAUUACUGGGCGUAAAGCGUGUGUAGGCGGUUCGGAAGUAGAUUAAGAUGUGCAGAUCCCAGGGCUCAGACCUUGGAGACUGCAUUUGUGCCUAUUACUUGAACGUCGAGCUAGAGUAUGUGAGCGGGGGGUAGCCUUCUACGUGUAGUUCGUGUGAUAUGCGUAGGUCUUACUGUGGCGGCAUACCGAUUGCGAAGGUGGUCCCGAACUUCUUCCGGAUAAUACUCGACGCUCAGUCCCGAUAGACUUCUCCCACCUUCAUGGGAGAAAAUUGUAAGAAGGGUUGGGCUCGCUGUUGCACUUAAGACAGCAUUGCAGACACUAGUUGAUGAGGUAACAUGCACCACAACGUCAAUCUGUCAUGGGAAGCGGAAGGGGGUAUUCGGAGACUUGUCAGAUGAGACACGGCCCAGACUCCUUCGGGUGUCUGCAUUAGAGAAUCUCACGCGCUGCACCGAUGGCGCGGGCCGCACCCAAUUCAAUCGGGUUUCAGUUUAGCGACCUUACUCCCCAGUUGUUAUGGUUGAACAAGUACAAGAGCAGUAAAGGGGGGAAGACGUCGCCCAAUCAGCAGUUAUCGUCGACGGGGUGGACCAGCAGCGGAUUUAAUCCGUAGGGGGCUAGCGUUAUCUUGAAUAUUGGGCGUUAACAGACCCCGAACGGCCCUCGCCUCUGGUGUUCCUCCACAUCUCCAUGCACUUGAACGGUCCACGGAAAAUUGGGAUCUUGCGUUCAGCACACAAAUUCCCCAGUCCACAAGGACCCUCCACGGGGGUGGAGUGGGGGUUUACCCCCACCUCAAAAAGGGCCAUCUGCGUGCUUAUUACCAAGAAUUAAUAAGAUCAUCCGCGGUUU